AUUGAACGCUGGCGGAAUGCUUUACACAUGCGAGUCGAACGGCAGCACGGACUUCGGUCUGGUGGCGAGUGGCGAACGGGUGAGUAAUACAUCGGAACGUACCCAGUAAUGGGGGAUAACUAUCCGAAAGGAUAGCUAAUACCGCAUACGCCCUACGGGGGGAAGAGGGGGAUCGCAAGACCUCUUGUUAUUGGAGCGGCCGAUGGCUGAUUAGCUAGUUGGUAGGGUAAAGGCCUACCAAGGCAACGAUCAGUAGCGGGUCUUAGAGGACGAUCCGCCACACUGGAACUGAGACACGGUCCAGACUCCUACGGGAGGCAGCAGUGGGGAAUCUUGGACAAUGGGCGCAAGCCUGAUCCAGCAAUGCCGCGUGCGUGAAGAAGGCCUUCGGGUUGUAAAGCGCUUUUGUCAGGGAGCAAAUCCUUGUGGCUAAUACCCACCGGGGAUGAGAGUACCUGAAGAAUAAGGACCGGCUAACUACGUGCCAGCCGCCGCCGUAAAAC
rnacentral:rRNA from 1 species